rnacentral:rRNA from 1 species
AUUGAACGCUGGCGGCAUGCUUUACACAUGCAAGUCGAACGGUAACAGGCCGCAAGGUGCUGACGAGUGGCGAACGGGUGAGUAAUGCAUCGGAACGUGCCCAGUCGUGGGGGAUAACGCAGCGAAAGCUGCGCUAAUACCGCAUACGACCUCUGGAUGAAAGCGGGGGACCGAAAGGCCUCGCGCGAUUGGAGCGGCCGAUGUCAGAUUAGGUAGUUGGUGGGGUAAAGGCCCACCAAGCCAACGAUCUGUAGCUGGUCUGAGAGGACGACCAGCCACACUGGGACUGCGACACGGCCCAGACUCCUACGGGAGGCAGCAGUGGGGAAUUUUGGACAAUGGGCGCAAGCCUGAUCCAGCAAUGCCGCGUGCAGGAAGAAGGCCUUCGGGUUGUAAACUGCUUUUGUACGGAACGAAACGGUCCGGGUUAAUACCCUGGGCUAAUGACGGUACCGUAAGAAUAAGCACCGGCUAACUACGUGCCAGCCGCCGCAGUAACAC